GUAGGACCCAAGCGUUAUCCGGAAUUACUGGGCGUAAAGAGUUGCGUAGGUGGUUAUGUAAGCGAAUAGUGAAAUCGUGUGGCUCAACCAUACGGCUGUUAUUCGAACUACAUGACUUGAGUGUGAGAGAGGUAACUGGAAUUUCUAGUGUAGGAGUGAAAUCCGUAGAUAUUAGAAGGAACACCAAUGGCGAAGGCAGGUUACUGGCUCAUUACUGACACUGAGGCACGAAAGCGUGGGUAGCAAACGGGAUUAGAUACCCCGGUAGUCCACGCCGUAAACGAUGCAUGCUAGCUGUGAGAGGCUCGACCCUUUUCGUAGCGAAGCUAACGCGUUAAGCAUGCCGCCUGGGGAGUACGGUCGCAAGAUUA
rnacentral:rRNA from 1 species